rnacentral:rRNA from 1 species
GACGAACCGAGCGAACGUUAUUCGGAAUCACUGGGCUUAAAGGGCGCGUAGGCGGGCGGCCAAGUCAGGGGUGAAAGCCCCCAGCUCAACUGGGGAAGUGCCUUUGAUACUGGUCAUCUCGAGGGAGAUAGGGGCGUGCGGAACUUCCGGUGGAGCGGUGAAAUGCGUAGAUAUUGGGAGGAACACCAGUGGCGAAGGCGGCUACCUGGACCGGUUCUGACGCUGAGGCGCGAAAGCGUGGGUAGCAAACAGG